GACGAACCGUGCGAACGUUAUUCGGAAUCACUGGGCUUAAAGCGCGUGUAGGCGGGUCGGCGCGUCCGAGGCUGAAAUCCCCCGGCUCAACCGGGGAACGGGCCCGGGAUACGGCCGGCCUGGAGGGGGGUAGGGGGAGCCGGGAACUCACGGUGGAGCGGUGAAAUGCGUUGAGAUCGUGAGGAACGCCCGGUGGCGAAAGCGGGCUCCUGGGCCC
rnacentral:rRNA from 1 species